rnacentral:rRNA from 1 species
GUGGGGAAUAUUGGACAAUGGGGGGAACCCUGAUCCAGCCAUGCCGCGUGUGUGAAGAAGGCCUUUUGGUUGUAAAGCACUUUAAGCGAGGAGGAGGCUACCGAGAUUAAUACUCUUGGAUAGUGGACGUUACUCGCAGAAUAAGCACCGGCUAACUCUGUGCCAGCAGCCGCGGUAAUACAGAGGGUGCAAGCGUUAAUCGGAUUUACUGGGCGUAAAGCGCGCGUAGGUGGCCAAUUAAGUCAAAUGUGAAAUCCCAGAGCUUAACUUGGGAAUUGCAUUCGAUACUGGUUGGCUAGAGUAUGGGAGAGGAUGGUAGAAUUCCAGGUGUAGCGGUGAAAUGCGUAGAGAUCUGGAGGAAUACCGAUGGCGAAGGCAGCCAUCUGGCCUAAUACUGACACUGAGGUGCGAAAGCAUGGGGAGCAAACAGGAUUAGAUACCCGGGUAGUCC